AGUGAACGCUGGCGGUAGGCCUAACACAUGCAAGUCGAGCGGCAGCACAGGAGAGCUUGCUCUCUGGGUGGCGAGUGGCGGACGGGUGAGGAAUACAUCGGAAUCUACUCUGUCGUGGGGGAUAACGUAGGGAAACUUACGCUAAUACCGCAUACGACCUACGGGUGAAAGCAGGGGAUCUUCGGACCUUGCGCGAUUGAAUGAGCCGAUGUCGGAUUAGCUAGUUGGCGGGGUAAAGGCCCACCAAGGCGACGAUCCGUAGCUGGUCUGGGAGGAUGAUCAGCCACACUGGAAUGGAGACGCGGUCCAGACUCCUACGGGGGGAGCAGUGGGGAAUAUUGGACAAUGGGCGCAAGCCUGAUUCAGCCAUACCGCGUGGGUGAAGGAGGCCUUCGGGUUGUAAAGCCCUUUUGUUGGGAAAGAAAUCCAGCUGGCUAAUACCCGGUUGGGAUGACGGUACCCAAAGAAUAAGCACCGGCUAACUUCGUGCCAGCAGCCGCGGUAA
rnacentral:rRNA from 1 species